UAAUACCAGCAGUCCAAGUUGCAACCAUUAUUAUUGGGUCUAAAACAUCCGUAGCUUGCUUGAUAAGUUUCUUGUGAAAUCCUAUGUCUCAAGUAUGGGGCGUGCAAGAAAUACUAUCAGGCUAGAGACCGGUAGGUGUGAGAAGUACGUCCGAGGUAGCGGUUAAAUGUGUUAAUCUCGGUUGGACUAACAAUUAGCAAAGGCAUCUCACAAGGACGGAUCUGACAGUGAGGGAUGAAGGCCAGGGGCGCAAAACAGAUUAGAUACCUGUGUAGUCCUGGCAGUAAACGCUGCUCACUAAACAUUGGGCCCUCUUCGGGAGGAUUCAGUGCUGAAGCGAAGGCGAAAAGUGAGCUACCUGGGAAGUAUAGUCGCAAGGUCG
rnacentral:rRNA from 1 species